UACGUAGGGCGCAAGCGUUGUCCGGAAUUAUUGGGCGUAAAGAGCUCGUAGGUGGCUUGUCACGUCGGGUGUGAAAGCUUGGGGCUUAACUCCAGGUCUGCAUUCGAUACGGGCUGGCUAGAGGUAGGUAGGGGAGAACGGAAUUCCUGGUGUAGCGGUGAAAUGCGCAGAUAUCAGGAGGAACACCAGUGGCGAAGGCGGUUCUCUGGGCCUUACCUGACGCUGAGGAGCGAAAGCGUGGGGAGCGAACAGG
rnacentral:rRNA from 1 species